rnacentral:rRNA from 1 species
UAAUACAUCGGAACGUGCCCAGUCUGGGGGGAGUAACUACUCGAAAGAGUAGCUAAUACCGCAUACGAUCUGAGGAUGAAANCGGGGGACCUUCGGGCCUCGCGCGAUUGGAGCGGCCGAUGGCAGAUUAGGUAGUUGGUGGGAUAAAAGCUUACCAAGCCGACGAUCUGUAGCUGGUCUGAGAGGACGACCAGCCACACUGGGACUGAGACACGGCCCAGACUCCUACGGGAGGCAGCAGCU